rnacentral:rRNA from 1 species
AUUGAACGCUGGCGGCAGGCCUAACACAUGCAAGUCGAGCGGAUGAAGGGAGCUUGCUCCUGGAUUCAGCGGCGGACGGGUGAGUAAUGCCUAGGAAUCUGCCUGGUAGUGGGGGAUAACGUCCGGAAACGGGCGCUAAUACUGCAUACGUCCUGAGGGAGAAAGUGGGGGAUCUUCGGACCUCACGCUCUCAGAUGAGCCUAGGUCGGAUUAGCUAGUUGGUGGGGUAAAGGCCUACCAAGGCGACGAUCCGUAACUGGUCUGAGAGGAUGAUCAGUCACACUGGAGCUGAGACACGGUCCAGACUCCUACGGGAGGCAGCAGUGGGGAAUAUUGGACAAUGGGCGAAAGCCUGAUCCAGCCAUGCCGCGUGUGUGAAGAAGGUCUUCGGAUUGUAAAGCACUUUAAGUUGGGAGGAAGGGCAGUAAGUUAAUACCUUGCUGUUUUGACGUUACCAGCAGAAUAAGCACCGGCUAACUUCGUG